AACAGCAAAACAAAAACAAGCCUACCCACUUGUGUCAGACGGACGCUUUUUCUCAUAUGCGGGGCACGCAUCGGUUGAGUCAAAUCAACACAUAACAAUCUUGUACUUAAAAUUCGUAAACAAGGCGAUAAGCAGGCAUGACGACCCACCGCGGCAUGGGUCGGUGGGGUAGGCGGCAUGGCUUUUUUCUCUCUGUGUUUAUUGAUGUGGCCGUAAAUCUCAAUUGCGGCAAAUGCUCAUCGCGCCGAGAUGGCCAGCUUUCCGCUUGUCGUUUGUGUAAGUGCCUGUUUCGCCGUUGAUUGUCGUCUAAUCUCUUCCUAAGCAUCACGUUCUGAGCUGUUGACAAUAUCCCUAAAUUUCGGAGUAAAACUUUUCAUUGGACCGAGCAGUAGGGGUACCCUGAACAGGACUCUAUAUCCCUGUAGUUCAGCUCCUUGAUCCCCAUGAGAAUACAAAAUUAAACUGCCACACAAUCAACUAAUAGGCUCAAUGACACAGCCAUCGAUGCGUCAAAGUUAAAUAAAGCUGUCUUCGUUCUCAAUUUA